AUCCAUAGCUCAGUUUGGUCAGAGCGUCUGGCUGUUAACCAGAGUGUCACUGGUUCAAAUCCAGUUGGGUC
rnacentral:tRNA from 1 species